rnacentral:tRNA from 1 species
GCCUAGUUAGCUUGGAGGGUAGCGCGUCUGCCUUGUAAGCACUAGGCCGCGGGUUCAAUUCACGCUCGGGGCG